AUUGAACGCUGGCGGCAUGCCUUACACAUGCAAGUCGAACGGCAGCACGGGUGCUUGCACCUGGUGGCGAGUGGCGAACGGGUGAGUAAUACAUCGGAACGUACCUUAUCGUGGGGGAUAACGCAGCGAAAGCUGUGCUAAUACCGCAUACGCCCUGAGGGGGAAAGGGGGGGAGCGGAAGACCUCUGGCGAUUAGAGCGGCCGAUGCCUGAUUAGCUUGUUGGUGGGGUAAAAGCCCACCAAGGGGACGAUCAGUAGCUGGUCUGAGAGGACGAUCAGCCACACGGGGACUGAGACACGGCCCAGACUCCUACGGGAGGCAGCAGUGGGGAAUUUUGGACAAUGGGGGCAACCCUGAUCCAGCAAUGCCGCGUGAGUGAAGAAGGCCUUCGGGUUGUAAAGCUCUUUUGUCAGGGAAGAAACACCGGCUCUAACACAGUCCGGGAAUGACGGUACCUGAAGAAUAAGCACCGGCUAACUACGUGCCAGCCGCCGCGGUAA
rnacentral:rRNA from 1 species